UUUUUUCCCUCAAAACUUUAAUUUAUAUUUUUUAGUAUCAUUACAAAGUUAUAAAGCAUGGAAAUUGAUAAGAAAGUGUUUGUGGUAUUUGAAAUAGCACAUCAAUCCAACUGAACAAUGUACUAAAUCUUUUGAAAGUAAUUUGUAUGAUUAUCAAUGAGACAAACUUUCACCAGAUACCAAAUAUGUUGAGGUAUGUAACCAAUACAGGUCACACACAGUAUGGCCUUCAACACAGAUCAAUAUAUCCCAUAUACAUAAAGAUCUGAUUGUUAUUAAUUUUUCUCCCCCCCC
rnacentral:lncRNA from 1 species